rnacentral:rRNA from 1 species
AUUGAACGCUGGCGGCAUGCUUUACACAUGCAAGUCGAACGGCAGCGCGGGCUUCGGCCUGGCGGCGAGUGGCGAACGGGUGAGUAAUACAUCGGAACGUGCCCAGUAGCGGGGGAUAGCUCGGCGAAAGCCGGAUUAAUACCGCAUACGACCUGAGGGUGAAAGCGGGGGAUCUUCGGACCUCGCGCUAUUGGAGCGGCCGAUGGCAGAUUAGCUAGUUGGUGGGGUAAAGGCCUACCAAGGCGACGAUCUGUAGCUGGUCUGAGAGGACGACCAGCCACACUGGGACUGAGACACGGCCCAGACUCCUACGGGAGGCAGCAGUGGGGAAUUUUGGACAAUGGGCGAAAGCCUGAUCCAGCAAUGCCGCGUGUGUGAUGAAGGCCUUCGGGUUGUAAAGCACUUUUGGCGGGAACGAAAAGGACUGUGCAAAUACCACGGUUAGAUGACGGUACCCGCAGAAUAAGCACCGGCUAACUACGUG